rnacentral:rRNA from 1 species
AGUGAACGCUGGCGGUAGGCCUAACACAUGCAAGUCGAACGGCAGCACAGUAAGAGCUUGCUCUUACGGGUGGCGAGUGGCGGACGGGUGAGGAAUACAUCGGAAUCUACUUUUUCGUGGGGGAUAACGUAGGGAAACUUACGCUAAUACCGCAUACGACCUACGGGUGAAAGCAGGGGAUCUUCGGACCUUGCGCGAUUGAAUGAGCCGAUGUCGGAUUAGCUAGUUGGCGGGGUAAAGGCCCACCAAGGCGACGAUCCGUAGCUGGUCUGAGAGGACGUUCAGCCACACUGGAACUGAGACACGGUCCAGACUCCUACGGGAGGCAGCAGUGGGGAAUAUUGGACAAUGGGCGCAAGCCUGAUCCAGCCAUACCGCGUGGGUGAAGAAGGCCUUCGGGUUGUAAAGCCCUUUUGUUGGGAAAGAAAAGCAGCAGGUUAAUACCCCGCUGUUCUGACGGUACCCAAAGAAUAAGCACCGGCUAACUUCGUG